rnacentral:snRNA from 1 species
AUCGCUUCUCGGCCUUUUGGCUAAGAUCAUGUGUAGUAUCUGUUCUUAUCAGUUUAAUAUUUUAAAGAUAUAAAUCUGUAAUCCUUAAAAAUUUUU